CAUCGCUACUGCAUGGGUCAGUGAGGAGACCGGGGACAUCAGAUCUGGUGACCCCAACCUCCCCAGUAGUCGAUCUAGCGGCAAGA
rnacentral:pre_miRNA from 1 species